rnacentral:rRNA from 1 species
UACGUAGGGGGCAAGCGUUGUCCGGAUUUAUUGGGCGUAAAGAGCGUGUAGGCGGCCGCACAGGUCCGUUGUGAAAACUGGAGGCUCAACCUUCAGACGUCGAUGGAAACCGUGCGGCUAGAGUCCGGAAGAGGAGAGUGGAAUUCCAGGUGUAGCGGUGAAAUGCGUAGAUAUCUGGAGGAACACCGGUGGCGAAGGCGGCAUCCUGGACCAACACUGACACUGAGGAGCGAAAGCCAGGGGAGCAAACGGG